AUUGAACGCUGGCGGCAGGCCUAACACAUGCAAGUCGAGCGAGGGGCGGACGGGUGAGUAAUGUAUGGGAAACUGCCUGAUGGAGGGGGAUAACUACUGGAAACGGUAGCUAAUACCGCAUACCAUCGGAUGAACCCAGAUGGGAUUAGAUAGUAGGUGGGGUAAAGGCUCACCUAGGCGACGAUCCUUAGCUGGUCUGAGAGGAUGACCAGCCACACUGGAACGGAGCCACGGCCCAGGCUCCGACGGGAGGCAGCAGUGGGGAAUAUUGCACAAUGGGCUCAAGCCUGAUGCAGCCAUGCCGCGUGUAUGAAGAAGGCCUUAGGGUUGUAAAGUACUUUCAGCGGGGAGGCGUUACCCGCAGAAGAAGCACCGGCUAACUCCGUGCCAGCAGCCGCGGUAAUAC
rnacentral:rRNA from 1 species